GGUGGAGGUAUGGGACUGUAGGUGGAGGUAUGGGACUGUAGGUGGAGGUAUGGAACUGUAGGUGGAGGUAUGGGACUGUAGGUGGAGGUAUGGGACUGCAGGUGGAGGUAUAGAGGUUUGGGACUGUAGGUGGAGGUAUGGGACUGUAGGUGGAGGUAUAGAGGUAUGGGACUGUAGGUGGAGGUAUAGAGGUAUGGGACUGCAGGUGGAGGUUAAGAGGUAUGGGACUGCAGGUGGAGGUAUAGAGGUAUGGGACUGCAGGUGGAGGUAUAGAGGUAUGGGACUGCAGGUGGAGGUAUAGAGGUAUGGGACUGUAGGUGGAGGUAUAGAGGUAUGGGACUGCAGGUGGAGGUAUAGAGGUAUGGGACUGUAGGUGGAGGUAUAGAGGUAUGGGACUGUAGGUGGUG
rnacentral:lncRNA from 1 species